UACGUAGGGUGCAAGCGUUAAUCGGAAUUACUGGGCGUAAAGCGUGCGCAGGCGGCGAUGUAAGACAGUGUGAAAUCCCCGGGCUACCACUGGGAACUGCAUUCGUGUGACUGCAUCGGCUGGAGUGCGGGCAGAGGGGGAUGGAAUUCCACGUGUAGCAGAUGAAAUGCGUAGAGAUGUGGAGGAACACCGAUGGCGAAGGCAGCCC
rnacentral:rRNA from 1 species